rnacentral:misc_RNA from 1 species
AACACUGUUAACCUGCGGUACCUGCGGAGGGAUCAUUACCGAGUUUACAACUCCCAAACCCCUGUGAACAUACCUAUACGUUGCCUCGGCGGAUCAGCCCGCGCCCUGUAAAAAGGGACGGCCCGCCCGAGGACCCUAAACUCUGUUUUUAGUGGAACUUCUGAGUAAAACAAACAAAUAAAUCAAAACUUUUAACAACGGAUCU